UGGAAGCGUCUGGAAAGGCGCGCGAUACAGGGUGACAGCCCCGUACACAAAAAUGCACAUGCUGUGAGCUCGAUGAGUAGGGCGGGACACGUGGUAUCCUGUCUGAAUAUGGGGGGACCAUCCUCCAAGGCUAAAUACUCCUGACUGACCGAUAGUGAACCAGUACCGUGAGGGAAAGGCGAAAAGAACCCCGGCGAGGGGAGUGAAAAAGAACCUGAAACCGUGUACGUACAAGCAGUGGGAGCACGCUUAGGCGUGUGACUGCGUACCUUUUGUAUAAUGGGUCAGCGACUUAUAUUCUGUAGCAAGGUUAACCGAAUAGGGGAGCCGAAGGGAAACCGAGUCUUAACUGGGCGUUAAGUUGCAGGGUAUAGACCCGAAACCCGGUGAUCUAGCCAUGGGCAGGUUGAAGGUUGGGUAACACUAACUGGAGGACCGAACCGACUAAUGUUGAAAAAUUAGCGGAUGACUUGUGGCUGGGGGUGAAAGGCCAAUCAAACCGGGAGAUAGCUGGUUCUCCCCGAAAGCUAUUUAGGUAGCGCCUCGUGAAUUCAUCUCCGGGGGUAGAGCACUGUUUCGGCAAGGGGGUCAUCCCGACUUACCAACCCGAUGCAAACUGCGAAUACCGGAGAAUGUUAUCACGGGAGACACACGGCGGGUGCUAACGUCCGUCGUGAAGAGGGAAACAACCCAGACCGCCAGCUAAGGUCCCAAAGUCAUGGUUAAGUGGGAAACGAUGUGGGAAGGCCCAGACAGCCAGGAUGUUGGCUUAGAAGCAGCCAUCAUUUAAAGAAAGCGUAAUAGCUCACUGGUCGAGUCGGCCUGCGCGGAAGAUGUAACGGGGCUAAACCAUGCACCGAAGCUGCGGCAGCGACGCUUAUGCGUUGUUGGGUAGGGGAGCGUUCUGUAAGCCUGCGAAGGUGUGCUGUGAGGCAUGCUGGAGGUAUCAGAAGUGCGAAUGCUGACAUAAGUAACGAUAAAGCGGGUGAAAAGCCCGCUCGCCGGAAGACCAAGGGUUCCUGUCCAACGUUAAUCGGGGCAGGGUGAGUCGACCCCUAAGGCGAGGCCGAAAGGCGUAGUCGAUGGGAAACAGGUUAAUAUUCCUGUACUUGGUGUUACUGCGAAGGGGGGACGGAGAAGGCUAUGUUGGCCGGGCGACGGUUGUCCCGGUUUAAGCGUGUAGGCUGGUUUUCCAGGCAAAUCCGGAAAAUCAAGGCUGAGGCGUGAUGACGAGGCACUACGGUGCUGAAGCAACAAAUGCCCUGCUUCCAGGAAAAGCCUCUAAGCAUCAGGUAACAUCAAAUCGUACCCCAAACCGACACAGGUGGUCAGGUAGAGAAUACCAAGGCGCUUGAGAGAACUCGGGUGAAGGAACUAGGCAAAAUGGUGCCGUAACUUCGGGAGAAGGCACGCUGAUAUGUAGGUGAAGUCCCUUGCGGAUGGAGCUGAAAUCAGUCGAAGAUACCAGCUGGCUGCAACUGUUUAUUAAAAACACAGCACUGUGCAAACACGAAAGUGGACGUAUACGGUGUGACGCCUGCCCGGUGCCGGAAGGUUAAUUGAUGGGGUUAGCGGUAACGCGAAGCUCUUGAUCGAAGCCCCGGUAAACGGCGGCCGUAACUAUAACGGUCCUAAGGUAGCGAAAUUCCUUGUCGGGUAAGUUCCGACCUGCACGAAUGGCGUAAUGAUGGCCAGGCUGUCUCCACCCGAGACUCAGUGAAAUUGAACUCGCUGUGAAGAUGCAGUGUACCCGCGGCAAGACGGAAAGACCCCGUGAACCUUUACUAUAGCUUGACACUGAACAUUGAGCCUUGAUGUGUAGGAUAGGUGGGAGGCUUGGAAGUGUGGACGCCAGUCUGCAUGGAGCCGACCUUGAAAUACCACCCUUUAAUGUUUGAUGUUCUAACGUUGACCCGUAAUCCGGGUUGCGGACAGUGUCUGGUGGGUAGUUUGACUGGGGCGGUCUCCUCCUAAAGAGUAACGGAGGAGCACGAAGGUUGGCUAAUCCUGGUCGGACAUCAGGAGGUUAGUGCAAUGGCAUAAGCCAGCUUGACUGCGAGCGUGACGGCGCGAGCAGGUGCGAAAGCAGGUCAUAGUGAUCCGGUGGUUCUGAAUGGAAGGGCCAUCGCUCAACGGAUAAAAGGUACUCCGGGGAUAACAGGCUGAUACCGCCCAAGAGUUCAUAUCGACGGCGGUGUUUGGCACCUCGAUGUCGGCUCAUCACAUCCUGGGGCUGAAGUAGGUCCCAAGGGUAUGGCUGUUCGCCAUUUAAAGUGGUACGCGAGCUGGGUUUAGAACGUCGUGAGACAGUUCGGUCCCUAUCUGCCGUGGGCGCUGGAGAACUGAGGGGGGCUGCUCCUAGUACGAGAGGACCGGAGUGGACGCAUCACUGGUGUUCGGGUUGUCAUGCCAAUGGCACUGCCCGGUAGCUAAAUGCGGAAGAGAUAAGUGCUGAAAGCAUCUAAGCACGAAACUUGCC
rnacentral:rRNA from 1 species